UACGUAGGGUGCAAGCGUUGUCCGGAAUUAUUGGGCGUAAAGAGCUCGUAGGCGGUUUGUCGCGUCUGCUGUGAAAAUCCAGGGCUUAACCCUGGACCUGCAGUGGGUACGGGCAGACUAGAGUGCGGUAGGGGAGAUCGGAAUUCCUGGUGUAGCGGUGAAAUGCGCAGAUAUCAGGAGGAACACCGAUGGCGAAGGCAGCUCGCUGGGACGGUACUGACGCUGAGGCGCGAAAGCGUGGGGAGCAAACAGG
rnacentral:rRNA from 1 species